GGGGUUAUAGCUCAGUGGUAGAAUAUUCCACUGCAGAUAGAGAGGUCCCCGGUUCAAACCUCGGUGUCCCCU
rnacentral:tRNA from 1 species